CACUAGUUUACCAGUUGUCUGGCAAGGCAAUGCUGGGUAGCCACGCCCUGAAGGAUAAGAGCUGAAAGCAUCUAAGCUCGAAGCCACCCCAAAGACGAGACACCUCAGAACGCUCGUAAAAGACGA
rnacentral:rRNA from 1 species